rnacentral:rRNA from 1 species
CGCAAGCCUGACGGAGCAACGCCGCGUGAGGGAUGAAGGCCUCUGGGCUGUAAACCUCUUUUCUCAAGGAAGAAGAUCUGACGGUACUUGAGGAAUAAGCCACGGCUAAUUCCGUGCCAGCAGCCGCGGUAAUACGGGAGUGGCAAGCGUUAUCCGGAAUUAUUGGGCGUAAAGCGUCCGCAGGCGGCCUUGAAAGUCUGUCGUUAAAGCGUGGAGCUUAACUCCAUUUCGGCGGUGGAAACUACAAGGCUUGAGUGUGGUAGGGGCAGAGGGAAUUCCCGGUGUAUCGGUGAAAUGCGUAGAUAUCGGGAAGAACACCAGUGGCGAAGGCGCUCUGCUGGGCCAUAACUGACGCUCAUGGACGAAAGCCAGGGGAGCGAAAG